rnacentral:ncRNA from 1 species
CCCCGGUGAGAACGCCCUUAAAUCCCCAAUAGGGAUAAGGAGCUGGUAUCAGGCACCCCUAUUGCCCAAGACACCUAGCUAUGCCACACCCUCAAGGGAAUUCAGCAGUGAUUAACAUUGACAAUAAGCGACAGCUUGACUCAGUUAAAGUAGAAAGAGCCGGCUAAUCUGGUGCCAGCCGCCGCGGUUACACCACGUGGCUCAAACUGACUUCCAUCGGCGUAAAGCGUGAUUAAAGUCCCUCUCAAUUAGAGUUAAAUUAAAACUAAGCUGUGACACGCUUGUUACUAAGAAACCCAAAAUCGAAAGAUACUCUAAUUCACCCAACUUGAACUCACGACAACUAAGAAACAAACUAGGAUUAGAUACCCCACUAUGCUUAGUCGUAAACUUUAAAUUACAUUUACAUCGCCCGGGAACUACGAGCAAAGCUUAAAACCCAAGGGACUUGACGGUACCCCACAUCCACCUAGAGGAGCCUGUCCUAUAAUCGAUAACCCCCGUUUAACCUCACCCUCUCUAGCCCAUCAGCCUGUAUACCUCCGUCGUCAGCUUACCACGUGAGCGCAUACUAGUGAGCCUAAUGUCCACACGCCAAAACGUCAGGUCAAGGUGCAGCACAUGAGAGGGGAAGAGAUGGGCUACACUCUCUAAUAUAGAAUAUACAAAUGACUACCCAUGAAAGUCAGUCUGAAGGCGGAUUUAGAAGUAAAAAGAAACCAUAGUGUUCUUUUUAACCCGGCACUGGGGUGUGUACACACCGCCCGUCACCCUCUUCAAAGCCCAAUAUAAGUCACUAACUAACCCCCCGCUAAAUAGAAGAGGCAAGUCGUNNNNNNNNNNNNNNNNNNNNNNNNNNNNCUUGGAA